GAUGAAUGCUGGCGGCGUGCCUAAUACAUGCAAGUCGAGCGGUAAGGCCCUUCGGGGUACACGAGCGGCGGACGGCUGAGUAACGCGUGGGAACAUGCCCCAAAGUGAGGGAUAACGCACCGAAAGGUGUGCUAAUACCGCAUAUGGUCUUCGGAUUAAAGGAUUUAUCCGCUUUGGGAGUGGCCCGCGUACGAUUAGAUUGUUGGUGAGGUAACGGCUCACCAAGUCGACGAUCGUUAACUGGUCUGAGAGGAUGAUCAGUCAGACUGGAACUGAGACACGGUCCAGACUCCUACGGGAGGCAGCAGUAAGGAAUCUUCCACAAUGGGCGAAAGCCUGAUGGAGCAACGCCGCGUGCAGGAUGAAGGCCCUCGGGUCGUAAACUGCUUUAUGAGUGAAGAAUAUGACGGUAACUCAUGAAUAAGCACCGGCUAAACUACGUGCCAGCAGCCGCGGUAAU
rnacentral:rRNA from 1 species